AAGCACUUGAGUGGCAGCACUAUACCAGGAUGUGGUGCUGGGAAACCAGAAAACAUCCUGCGGUGAGUGUCCUUUAGAGAACAAUUUUAUUGUAUCAUAGUCUACGCUAGCCAACAAGUUCUCUCCGUUCACUGGAUAAUUAAACUCGCCAAAGUUCAGCGCCCCUUUAUCUGACCCGAAUUUCUGCGCCAUUGUAAAAAUUAAAUCUGGUUACGUAUAAGACGUAUGUGUCUUAUAAUUAACAUACAACUUAAACCCAGAAAAUUAAAUUAAAUUUUUUUCAAGUCAUCCAAAUAUAUAUAUAUAGGGUAGAUAUAUAUUUUUUUUUCAUGGAAAAUACUCCAUGGUAAAUUCCAGAACCAAAUAUUAUGUACUCGCCAUUAAUGUUCACAGAGUGUGUGUGUGUGUGUGUGUGUGUAAUUACCUUCCAAUUCCAAGCUCCUGUGAAAGCAACAGCAAGCGGCACGGAAACAUCACCUGGCACUAUACUUUUUUCAUCAAGGCUCCCAGCACUACCAAAGUGAAUAAUUCCCUGAAUACGGAAUCUAUUCAAGAGGAUUUGCACAGCAAUGGCAGCAUUUACCUAUGUUUGGUUGCAGUUAGCAAUGGACAGCAACAGUGUAAUAUAUUGAAUAUUUAAAUAGUGCAAUGAAGAAACAAAGAUUAUAAAGAAACGAGGAAUCUUACAGAAUUUCCCCCGAUCUUAACAUAUACAAUAAAACGAGCAUUAAGUGUCCCAAUGUGGAACCUUCUCCCCGCAAUGUCAACAUAAGGCGUUUCAGCAUCAGGUGUGAAGAGACCAGAGUCUUGAAGGGCCUUUUCGUUGGUAUCAGAAGUUAAUAUCAGGGAAACAUGCAGAGAAUCUGCUCAAAUCAACACAAAGAAGGAAUAGCAGAAAAUCAUGGCACAGACUCUGCCAUCAACGAUAUAUAUUUGGAACGUAAAAUCUGCAGCUGUAUAUUGUAAUAGUACAGUUUUAGCAUUACCAUUUUAUUUGUUUCCAAAACUGAUUCCACGUUGUUGUAUAUAUUGCACACAAUAAUUAUCAAUACAUAAGGUGAAUAACUCAUUGAAACAGCUGCUGUGUUGUGUCUCUUUAGUUAAGACAAGACCUAAACGAGUGAAAUCAAUUUUGCAAUUGUUUGUCUCAGCAACAGGGUUUCUCAAACUCAUUUGGAAGGACUGCUGAGCCAAAACUAGCAGCCCAACCACCAUCACUACCAAGUUAACGCUCGACAUUCUAGAGAUCUGAGUAGAGCUAGCUCAGAUGAAAUGAGGUGAGAGAGAAGUUGUUUAGAGCAAUGCAAGUGUUUUGUGGUAUUCAGGUGUUGCUCAUGUGACUUUAUAUAGAGAUCAUCUAGCGAAACGGCCAAUUUAUAUAUAUAUAUAUAUAUAUAUAUAUAUUGUUAAAAUGAAAUAUUAAAUCUUUCAUAUCCAUUCAUUUCUUAAGGAUUCAAGUGAAGACGAAACUUUUUAGUGUAAUUACAUGAAAGUCCUUCAUUAUGCAUGGAAUGGAGCAAUUAUGUGUGCACUGCUCUUUCCAUGAUCAUGCAAGAUACUAACAAUCAUCAAAUAAGUUAAACAUCUUCUUCGUCAUGUUGUAACAUUUUUUAGCAAUAGAAGUUGAUGCAUGUGGAAGCUAAAUAUAAUAAUUAAAAAAAGCAUGAUUUUAUUAGCGAAAAGUGGAGAUGUGAGUUACAAAUUCAUAAGCUUAUUCUCUCUAAAUAAUAAUAACGAAAUUUAUCAUGUUAGAAGGUUUACAAAGUUUUAAAUAAGUCAGAAACCCUACCUCAACUAGGAACCAAAAAUAAAAAUAUGAAAUUACAAAGAAAAAAAAACAUAAAAUCAAAACAAAACAUAAAAUCCGAAAAUAACAAGAAAAAAUCACAAAAACUAUCAAAACCAGGGGUGAUCUCGACGAGAUUUUUGAUAACUGAAGAUCCGAUGGUCCGUAUAGCAAUACAGUAUUAUUAUAUGAAAAACAACUCUGGAAACUCCUAUAAAAUUUUGAGCAUAAUCCAACGGCUGAAUAAAAAGUCUGACCCUUUUGAGUUGUUAUCCUAAUCUGGUGUGAUCAGACCUGUUUUUAGACCUAAACAUGUCCCAUCGAUCAACAAAUGCAUCUACUAGGCCACUCAUAUGAUCUAUCUGUGACAAAUUCUUAUCUAGUUGUGGUAAACCUGCACCUAACUGCUCAAAAUUACAUGUUAACUUGAGUGCAUCAGAAGUGUUUUGUAAAGAACUUGCUUUCAAAGCAGAUAUAUUAUCUUAGAAAAGCAAGUUGAAAGCGAUUAUAAGGGAAGCAUGUAUUCUUUUAUUUCCCUUAUAAUUUGCUAAAAGGAUGCUCACCUUGUAAGCAAGCCAAAUCCUAAAUAACAAAACUUCAGCGCCAGACAAUUGAAAAACAUUGAUGGAAUAUUCUUUCGGUGAGUAAACUUUAUUUUUUCAGCCAUUUACUUUGUUGAUGGACUUACCGAUGGAAAUACGUUGUUGAAAUUUUUUUUGCCGGGGAUUUGCUAUCCAUUGGCAUUUAUGUUGGUAAUUUGUAAUGCCAACAAAACAUUGGUGCCAAAAAAUAAAAUGCACCAACCAACUUUCAUUAGUCAUUGUGUCACUAAAUAAAUUAUUGAUGAAAUGUUUUAUGGCUUAUUCCAUCAGCAAUAUUUAGUUUUUUCCAACGAAAUAGGCGACGAAAUUGGUGACAUAAUGUCCGUCGCUAAUUCCAUCGAAAAACUUUAUGAUGAAAUAGUACCUAUAUUUCUGAUGGAAUCAUUGAUGGACAAAAACAUUUGUUAGUGAUUCCGAUGGAAGUUUAAUAUAUUUUUUUUAGUUAUGUAGUUGUUAAUUUGAAAAACAAAAAAAAUCACAAUAAAACCAAACACUACCAAUUUUAUUGAGCAUCAAUUUUUUUUAUUUCAAUAGUCAUUAAAAAACAAUUUGACAACAAUACAUACAUUAUCCACUUCAUUCUGUCGGUAUUUUCCUCGAAAAAAUACCGUAUGUAAUUCUAUCGGUAAUUAUUUAAAAAUAUAUUUUUUAAAAAUCCAUUUUACAAAACUAUAAAAUAAUUAAAUUAAUAUAAAUCAGUACUCUAUAAUACUCAAAACGUUUGGAAAAAAGAAGAAGAAAAUCAUAUGAAAAAAAAAUCAUACAACAAUAUUCAUAUAAUUAUUAAGAACAAAAACAAUUAAAAAUAAAAUAAAAAAACAAAUAUAGUGAAAAAAAACACGAAAAAAUAAAAAUCUUACCUUAAUGUGGUUGCAAGUGAAACUAAGAAGAGAAAAAAAGAAAAAUUUGUAAGGUAUAUUAAAACUGAGAAGAAAAAAGAAGAAAGAAGAAGAAUACAUACCUGAGCAUGGAGGAGAUGAGAAGGAGUUGAGGAGAGAAGAGAAGAGAAAGAAAUGGAUAUUGAUGUUUUUUACAUAUAGGGAAGAAGAAGAAGAAAUGGCCCCGUCUGUUGUGAAAUUAGGAAUUUUAGGCUUUUUAUGUGGUGUUUUACCGACGGAUAAAAAAAUAGGUGAGAAUUAUUAUAAAAAGAAUAAAAAAACGGAAUAAGUUUUUUUAAUAUAUAAAAAUUCUAAAUACUAAACUUCAAAAUAUUUUAGAGCAAACAAAAACAAACAUAAACAUUAAUGUUAAAGAAGUAACAUGUAAAAUGGAUUUAUUUUUUAAAAUUUUAGAGAGAAAAAAUCAUCUAAGAAAAAACAUUUUUAUUAUUUAUUUUCGAAAGAAAUCACCAAACAUAGUGACCUACCAAUAGCUUGUCGUUAAACCAAACAUGUUCUGUAAAUGUUUUAUUAAGAUUUUACUGACUGGAAUAUUAUCCCUGAAUAUUCGAAAGAUUUUUUUGUGAAUCUAAUAUCAUUCGGUGUAGUAAAUACUUUUGUCGGCUUUGUAAGUAAUGUAGCAUGCGCCUCUGGAAGGAAGAAAACAUGUUGUGUUCUUCGACCUGGUCCCACGAAAACGAUGACAGAAAUAGUGUCGCUCCUGAAUUACAGUGAAAGGAAGGACGGCAAAGAUGCACCACAAAAGAAAAACUAAUAUUCGCUCAGAAUGCCAAACAUUUAUAUAUAUGUGGUUCUUAAACACCAUGCAGGAAACGUGCUUCGUCUUUUGAUGGCUUCCAUUUAGCAACUCUUAUCCAAAAGGCAGGCAAGUGAAUGGACCCCAAAAAUCCCACCACUCUCAAUCUGUUCACGAGAGAUUUCUCAAAAAAACCCCUUAAAUUUUCUGCUCUUGCAAAUCACCACAGUGAUUUUUAUAUGUAUUUAUAUCCCUCGCCAUUACCAUUCCUUGAACAAGUGUUAAGCAAGGACGAAGGCAUGUAAAGGCCUGGGUGUUAGCUAUAGUCGAGGUCAAGAUUUUAUCAAUAUUUUUUAACUAGUUUAUGUAAAAACAAUUUAUAAUUAUUGAUUGAGUUAUUAAAAAAUUCUUAAAAUUUGCAUGAAGCCUUUUAAUAUGAUACUUUAGCUUGGGUUAAAAUUUCAGAAUUUUUGAAGAAAUUUGAUGAAAAAUCACAAUUUAACCAGUUUUACGUUAUUGAGUGUAAUUUUCAAUCCGACCAUCAGAUUGAGCUGAAAGUUUAUGAGGGAUCUUAAAAUAUAUUAAAUAAAAUCUGGUUAAAAUUUUAGGAUGAACAGAGCUUGGUAGUGCUAAUAAAAAAAGAGAACCGUCAAAUAAAAGCAAAACGACUCAUUAAGGGUAAAAUGAUUAUUUGCCAUUAAAAAAUAAAACAAAUCAGUUCUUCCUUCUUUUUAUAUGUUGCUGACAUGGCAGAAGCAGAAUAGAAAAAGAAAGAAAAGAAAAGGCAAGAGAUAAAGAGAGAAAAGUAAGGGAAAAACAUAAAAAAAAAUCUAAGAAAAAAAAUAAAAAAAAUAAGAGAAUAACCUUGUAAACUUACAAAGUCCAACUUAUAAAACACUAAUCUAAGGAAUAAUCAAGUGAAGGAAGGAGGAAUUGAGAGAGAGAAAAAAUUUAAUUACUUUGUUUUCCAGUUGACAUGAGAUUGUUAUUUUAUCCUGGUUGAGGGGUUGUUACAAUAUCGAUUCAGAUUCGAUUAUAAAUGAAUUAUAUUCCACAAAACAUCGAAGAAUGUAACUUCAAUAGUUGGUUUAUUUUUACUUUCACUUUAAUUUUAUGUACUUUUAAAUUUAUUUUUUAAUAUUUUAGGUAGUGUAUUUGAAUUAAAACUUUACUGUUAACUUCCAAAAUUCAUGUAAAUAAAUUACUAAUUUAUCUUAAAAAAAUUAUAUAUUUAUUUAAUAGCCCAGGCUAUAAAAAUUCCUGGCUCCGUCCUUGGUGUUAAGUAUAUCAAAAAUAACUCUAAGGCUAUUUGUGUGUUUGGUGAUGCCGUGUUUCUUUCACGUGAACAUUUAGCUUCUUAGUGAAGUUCAUCAGAGACUAAUCUAGUCACUCCACAACCCCACCAAAGAUGCAGCUAUAAAAAAUCCAUAUUAUGUCUGAAGGUUUUUCAGUACUUCUUCAAAUGGGAUCAAAAUAUAUAUAAAUUUUAAUAUAUUCAAAUAUAUAUAAAUUUUAGGGAUAAUUUUAAAAACCCUUCUAUAGUUUGAUAUGAAUUUCAUUUUUCCUCUAUACUUUCAUAAAUUACACUUUUCAUCUUAUAGUUUAUAUGUUCAAUAAUAGUUUACAUCCUCAAUAAUAUAUUUUAUUUGAAUUUUUUGUUUGAUACAGGAUGUAGAGUAUAAUUUAUGAAAGUAUAGAAAGAAAGUGAAACUCAGAUAAAAUUAUUGGAGAAUUUAUGUAAUUUUUCCUAAAUCUUAUGAUAUUUAAAUUUCUAAAAAUGGUUAGGCUGAAAUUUGUUAAAUUAGAUCUCAACUCAAUUAAUGGUGGUUAGAAAAAGAAAAAUUACUAGUAAUUAGAGCGGGGUUUUAUAUAAACCAAAUAUAUAAUCCCAUAACUUAGAAUGAACGAUAUUCAUUUGUGGAUAUUGAAAGAUCAAAAAGAGUGAAAAAGACACUUGAGUAUCAAUAUAGUAUGAUCUUACCUUGAGCAAUUCAUAAAAUCAAUUAAUUUAAUCUCUAGUUAAAAAAAUUAUGUUAAAUUUAGACUUUGUCAAAUAAAGUUUUCAAAAUCAAACUUUAAUUAUUGAAAAUGAUACAAAACUUUGGAAUAUUAAUGGUGCUAGGAAAAUUAGAUUGAUACUUGAAAAAAAAAAUAAUUUUGAUAUAAUUUUUAGUUUUCAGACCAAUUAAAAUGUGUUUUGUUGUUAGAAAUGAGAUUUUAAAAGUUCAUAUGGUAUUUUUUCAUGUUCUUGGAUAAAAAAUGGUUUAAAUAUGGAUUUUGGGUGCAAAAACUUGGACCUUGUUUUUCUAGUCUAUAGACCCACCUCUAAUGAUUUAAAAGGUUGGAAAAAGGGAUGACAUAUUAUCUAUCUAAGUAGAUGAUCGUUGUCAGUUUAAUUUUAAAAAAAAUAGAAUCGACUGACUUUUUGUCUUCUCUUUAAAAAAUACUAGGUGUAUUUGAGGUUUUAAUUAUAGAAUAGACAUAUGACCUAUUUUUCUAGCCCAAGCAUGUUUGACCCUUCUUUUUACAAUACCCAUUCAAUAUUUUUCUGAUUGUUUUUUAUUUAAAUUUUUUUUAUAUUAAUAUUCUCUUUAAAUAAACUUAUUAAAAAAAGAUUUACAUAACUAUUCGAUUAUGCCGUUUUUUUCAUAUAAGUUUAUGGUGUUAUUAACAAUUACUUACAAAUAAUUAUACAUUAAUUACCUAAUAUGCAUAAGUUUCUAAAAUAUUUACUUGUUAAUCUAUUUUGUUGUUUCUUGUUAUAAAUUUUUACAUAUUGUUUCUCAAAUUUAUAAUUCUUGUAUUUUUAAAUAAUUUAAAUUAAAAAUAUCAAUCCAUCAUUUGUUUUGUUUUUUUAAUCAACCUUUCUAUGAAGAUUAUGAUAGUUUUUUUUAAAGAAUAUUUAUCAUUAAAAAAACAUGUUUUUGUCAUUGAAGUCUUUAAAAUAUUUUCAAAUAUUUAUUUUAAUUACUUUUAGUUUUAAUACAGUAAACCACAUAGCUAAAAAAAUAUUUAUUUUAAUUACUUUUAGUUUUAAUACAGUAAACCACAUAGCUAAAAAAAUAUGAUUUUUGUUAAAAACAAAUAUUAUUAUGAAAAAGUGAAUUCAGACUAAAAAUUAACAUUUUUAUACAUAAUCUAAAUCAUUACUUGUCUUACAAAAAUCUAUUUUUAUUUUAAUAUAAUUAAAUAAAAAAAUUGAUGAGGGUGUUGUGACACAAGAUAAAAUAUCGACAUGCACGUCUAUCUUUUACUCUUUAAAAGGAAGAUUAGGUUCCCGUGAUGGAUUUUAAUUAAUAUUAACAACUUUUUUUACAAUAUAAUUUAUAUAAAAAUAACAAUGACCAAAUUUAAAAUUAAAAAUAGCUCUCUCUUUUUUCAUUGUUUAUGGUUUUAAGUUUUAUAAUUUAUAUAAAAAAAUAAGUUUAGUCUCUAGAGCUUUUAAUUUUGCACAUUUCAAUUAUAAACUUAUUUAUUUUUAUUACAUUUCAGCCUUUGGUGUUGAGAGAGAAGAGAUCAAGUCAUUGAAAAAAAGAGAGGAUAGAGAAAUAAUUUAUUCAUCUGCAUUCCAACCACAUAAAAAGUUUAUCUUGGUGUCAAUGGAUUAUCCUUAGAGAGAAGAGUUAAUUGAAGAUGAUUUUUUUUCUUUGAACAUACUACAGAAAGUAGAUCGAGACUAGUAAAAUUGUUUUCUAUUUGGUUGGAUCUCAAGUUUUUAGAGUGAUUAGAGAUUGCUUUGAUGUUAGAAAUAAAUUUAUUAAGGUUUUUAUGAUGUCAUGGGUCAGAAACAUCGUCGAAAUCACUAUAUGAAUAAAUUUAGAAAUAAUAAAUUUAAGAAAAUUAUAAAAAAAAAUAGAUAUUUUAUUCUCAUUCAAAAUUAACAAGCAAAUUAUUUUAAAAUUUAUGCAUUUUAAGUUAAUAUAUAAUUAUUCUUAAAGAAAUUGCUAAUAUUAUCAUAAAAAUCUCUAAUUCUCUUAAAAAUGACUUAAUUGGAUCCAUAAAUAUUAUUUUAAUAAAUCAACUUUAAGAGAAUUUUAUUCACAAAAUAGAAAAAGGGAAAAUCAAAUUGUUAAGGGAUCUUGAACAAAAAACUGAUGCAAAUCUCGGGAUCUCGUGGUCACGCAACCCAUAAUUAAGAUUGAGAUCUGAUCCCGGAAAGCCGAAAUAGAUCUGAUAGGAGUGUGACACAAUGAAAACCUGCCUCAAGGCACCAACACUAUUGGAAUGAGUAUAAUGACACCACGAAGCUAGUUAAUCUUCGAUAAGUCAGAUUCAGUUUGUUCAAGAACUGAAGAAUGUAAGAAUCAUCUUACAUGUUAAAACUGAAAAAUUCAGAAUUAAUAAUCAUCACAAGCCUUGGGCUGUUGCUAAAAAAAUAAAUAAAGCCCCUAAUAUUAAAUCCAUGUUCUGCCAUGAGAAGAAAAGAAGGAAGUAAAAUAUUACAGAACCAAUUCAAGGCUUAUUUAUAGCCUUCAAUGCAGCCCCUUAAUCCCAAAAAUAAAAGGAAAAGGUAGCCACCCAUGUUGUUUCCAAGUUGUAGUAGUAUUCUUUUGUUUUUUUCGUUGUCCUCAUCUCAUGGCCCAAAUAAGGUUGUAUUGGAUCCCUCUUGCACAUGGAUAAGAUGUACUAGGGUCUCCUCUUGAUACUCUAAUGGACUUUUCAAUUAUGACUUGGUUGAAACGUUCAAAACCAAUGCAUUCAAUGCCUCUUUCAAUGCUUUUGUCUUGGACCGAGUCAUUGGACCAUUUGGAACAUGUAAUGGGUCCUUGUUGGUGUUUCUGGGCUGGUCCACAUCAUGAAGAAAUGGAUGGGGACUUGAACACAAUUAAACUGAAAAUUCCUAACUUUCAAGGUAAAAACGAUCACGAGGCUUAUUUGGAGUGGGAGAAAAAGGUAGAUUGAAUUUUUGAUUGCCAUAGCUAUUCUAAACAAAAGAAGGUGAAAUUGGUGAUAAUUGAGUUUACGGAGUAUGGAUUGAUUUGGUGGGAAAUUGGAUUUAUGAUGUAAUCUUGCCCCCAAUAGACAGAAUAUGAAUAAUAAGAAGAAAUAUAACUUUUUUUUUUUUUUUUGCUUAGAUGACGCGGACAUAAAGAACAAGAAGAUGAACACAAACACUGAAAAACUUAAAGGAACACUAAAAAAACGAGAAUAAUAGAAGGAUAUGACCUUAUUUCAGAGCCUAGCUCUGAUACCAACUGAUGCGAACCUCGUGUCACGUGGUCACGCAACCCAUAAUCAAGAUUGAGAUUUGAUCCCGGAAAGCCGAAAAAGGUCUGAUAGGAGUGUGACACAAUGAAAACCUGCCCCAAGGCACCAACACUAUUGGAUUGAGUAGAAUGAUGCCACGAAGCCAGUUAAUCUUCGAUAAGUCAGAUUCAGUUCGUUCAAGAACUAAAAUGCAAGAAUCACUCUUACACCUUAAAACUGAAAAAUUCAGAAAUAAUAAUCAUCAAAGCCGCUGAAAUUUUGGCUUACAUGAGUUUAACCGGGGCAAAAAAAGAUCUUGGUUCCUCGCUAUUUAGUCAGACAUAAAAUUACAUAAAAAAGACAGUAUGGAAUGUAUUGUGGAGAUUUGGCAUGGAGUUUUUAGAGAGGUGGGUUUCGGCUGAAGGGUGUUGAAAACUAGAAAAAUUAAUAUGUAAGUUUUUCAAAGUGGAGAUCUGGCGUGAGAUCCCUAUGACUUGUGAUGCCAAGGAAGCUCUCUUUUUGUUUACGGUGUUGAUUCUCUGCACCUCAAACACAUCAAAUUAUUCUUUUUUUCAUACUCUCUUUUUGUUUGCGUCUAUUUGUUAGUGCAGAUGAAAGAACUAACAUUGAAUAGACUUGAAGGUGAAUUUAUUGUGCAACAAUGGAGGUUUAGGAACUACCCCAAUGGAAUUAUUUCGAAGGUGAGUUGAUUACUGGUUUUGCAUUGGACAUGAUCCAAGGUGUGUGUGUUGAUCAGCUUCAAAAAACUGUUAUGGGUGAAGACUUCAUAAAGAGAUUUGUUGAGCUUGAGGAUUCAAUCAUAACAAUAUUUUCCAAAUAAGUUUAUGCAGUUAAAGCACCAGCUAGGCACCCUGUUUAUCACAAUGCCAUUAUAAUUAUUUGGGAUUUUAAUGACUGGAAUAUCCCUGAAUAUUCUAAAGAUUUUUUUGUAAAUCUAAUAUCAUUCGGUGUAGUAAAUACUUUUGUCGGUUUUGUAAGUAAUGCAGCAUGCGCCUCUGGAAAGAAGAAAACAUGUUGAUUGCAAAUGAGGUCCUUUCUUUCAUUAAGAAGAAAAAGGGUAAAGCUUAUCUCUUCAAAUUAGAUUUUCACAAAGCCUUUGAUUCGGUGUUAUGGGAAUAUAUUAAUGAAAUCAUGGCUAGUAUGGGCUUUGGCAAUAGAUGGCGAGGGUGGAUUAUGCAAUGCAUAUCAACGGCAAAAAUGUCUGUGCUUGUUAAUGGGUCUCCCACGGAGGAAUUCUGCUUAGCUAAAGGCCUACGCCAAGGAGACCCUCUCUCUCCGUUUCUCUUCAACAUUGCAGUCCAGGGGUUGAGUAGUAUGUUGCAACGUGGCUGUGAUUUGGGUUUGACUUCAGGUAUAAACAUGGGCAAUGCAGGGCUUGUCAUAUCUCACUUACAGUUUGCAGACGACACCGUUAUAUUCAGUUCAGACUCUUUACAUAGCAUGCAGAACAUUAAACGUAUCCUAUUAUGCUUUGAACUCGGGGUUGAAGGUCAAUUUUUAUAAAAGUAGCAUUGUCGGUGUGGGUGUAGCAGCUCAUACAUGUAACUUCACGGCUCAGCUUCUUAGAUGCAAGCAGGAUCAGCUGCCUCUCAUGUAUCUUGGACUCCCCAUUGGUGGAAACCUGGGCAGAGCUACAAUGUGGAAUCCUAUUUUACGCAAUAUCAGUUUCCGGUUGGCUUCGUGGAAAUGCAGGUUCUUAUCUAUUGGGGGCCGUUUGUGCUUGAUUAAAUCUGUGCUCAUCAAUCUCCCCAUCUACUACCUAUCUAUGUUCCCUAUGCCUGCUUCGGUUGCCUCCAUAAUUGAUCACAAACUUCGAUCCUUCCUCUGGUCUGGAAAUGAGGAAAGACACAAAAUAUGCAAUGUCAGCUGGGCCACUGUUACUCUUCCAAAACAAGCGGGUGGCCUUGGGAUUGGUCCCUUAAGGGACAAAAACACAGCUCUGCUCUUUAAAUGGUUAUGGAGGUUUGGGUCGGAGGAAUCAAGUUUGUGGAAGGAUGUGAUCAAAAGCAUCCACAUCACCAAUUGCUCUAAUCUUCUGCUGCAAGCUCCUAUUCCAGGAGCUGCAACUACAUGGUCCCGGAUUGUCAAUCAUUGUGUGAGAAAUAAUAAGCUGCAGGAUAUUGUGAAAGAGCAAUCUCUGGUUCUUAUCGGAAAUGGCAAGAAGACUAAAUUUUGGCUUGACUGCUGGCUUAAUAACCACUGUUUAGCAGAGCACUUCCCUACUCUUUUCCAAUUAUCCAAUGACAAAGCUGCCAGCAUUGCUAAAAUAGGAAUGUGGGAAGGGUAUGAGUGGAUUUGGGUUUUUUCCUAAAUACGUCCGCUACGGGGGCGCAACAUUGGCUUGCUCGAUCAGCUUUAUGCAAUCCUAUCGACUGUACUCAUGGACAAAGAUGGAGAGGAUAGACUAAUAUGGAAGGACAAUAAUUCAGGAAGAUUUUCAGUUAAAUCUCUCUGUGGAUUGUUAAGCCCAAAGCCUUCCACAAACAAUGCCUUCUCGUUUGCUGGAAUUUGGAAAGGUAUUGUCCCUCCUAAGGUAGAGAUCUUUUGCUGGAUGGCUAUCAUUAACAGAAUCAACACCCGAUGCAUGUUGGUUCGAAGGGGUAUAUUGAGUAGCUCAGAAUCAAAUUGCCCUAUCUGCCUAGUGGAGGCAGAAUCGGUGGACCAUAUCCUGCUUCAAUGCCAUAAGCAUUGGCUCAUUUGGUCCAAAAUCAUUAAGUGGUGGGGUUUAGUUUGGUGUUGCCCAAAGAGCUUCUCAGAUUUGUGGUCUCAAUGGACUUCCAUGGUGCAUGGUCAUUUUCAGAGGAAGGCGUGGCUGAUGUUGUUCUUCUCAGUGGCAUGGUCUCUUUGGCUACUUCGAAAUGAUCUGAUCUUCCAACAGAAGACACCUGACUAUGAUUCAAUAUUCUUUCUUAUUAUCACCCGUCUAUGUCUAUGGCUAAAAGCUAUCCAUUCUGAUUUCCCAUACUCCCCUUCUGAUCUGAUCAGAUCGGCAGAUGGCUUACUUCGGUGGUCCAAUGCCCACUCCUUCAGGAUUCAUAAUAUGUGGUCUCCUCCUAUGAUUAGUAGCCUCAAAUGGAACGUGGAUGGCUCGUCUCUUGGUAAGCCAGGCCCUUCUGGAAUAGGUGGUGUACUGCGAAAUCAUCAUGGACAUCUUCUCGGUAUGUUCUCUGUUCCAGUUGGUAUUUUAGACUCUAAUAUUGCUGAGUUAAGGGCUAUUGUCAAAGCCAUUGAACUUUUAGCAUCUAAUUGUCUCUUCCACCAUCAACACCUCAUCAUAGAAUCUGACUCUGUCAAUGCUAUUAGCUGGAUGAAUAAGCCUCACAACCGUCCCUGGAAGCAUCAUAAUCUGUUCUCCUCUGUUAAUAGGCUGAAAGCAUAUUUUGGUUCAAUCACCUUCUCCCAUAUCUUCCGUGAAAGUAAUUGCAUGGCAGAUUGCAUGGCUAAACAAGGAGUGCAGAGAUCAAGUGAUUUUGUUGCCUGGCUUUGACUACACUUUUUUUCUAUGGCCUUGCUCUUGUGUCUUCUCCCACUAUGUCUUUGCGUUAUUUUCGUUUUUGUUUUGUAGAGGAUUGUUUAGCUUUGAGCUCAUUCGGAUGGUUAUUCUAAGGUUUUCUUUGCUUUUGUUUUUCUUAUACUGCGCUUUAUUCUAUUUAUGGCUUUUUGUCAUAGUAAGAUAUUGUGUAGUUUCUGUACUACUCCCGCCAGGCUUUGGCGUUUAAAUAAUAUACACAUCUUUCAAAAAAAAAAAGAAAACAUGUUGUGUUCUUCGACCUGGUCCCACGAAAACGAUGACAGAAAUAGUGUCGCUCCUGAAUUACAGUGAAAGGUUCUUAAACACCAUGCAGGAAACGUGCUUCGUCUUGUGAUGGCUUCCAUUUAGCAACUCUUAUCCAAAAGGCAGGCAAGUGAAUGGACCCCAAAAAUCCCACCACUCUCAAUCUGUUCACGAGAGAUUUCUCAAAAAAACCCCUUAAAUUUUCUGCUCUUGCAAAUCACCACAGUGAUUUUUAUAUGAAUUUUUAUAUCCCCCGCCAUUACCAUUCCUUGAAAAUGCAUAUCAAUACUGAUUACGUGUAACCUCAUGGGCCAUCAAUGCAUUUUUUUCCUUUGAAAAUGCAUAUCACUGUAAUACCGCAGUCUACUUGAACUUACAAUAGUAAAGAAAUCUCUUACCACCAAAACAACUGCUCGCACAGUUGCGCUUGAACCUGUGAACAAGAGCUUACAUGUAAACCUCUUGGUUUGCAAGUUGCAACACAACCAUGGAGCAGGUUCAUGGCUAGGCUACUGUUACAUGCAUGGUGCACCGAAGCUGGCACGUAAUUGCUAUUGAAGCGAGCCAUGAGAAAAGGGUCCUCGCUCCUGACGGCGUCUCCAUGUCCCGUGCCCCAAAGAAUACAGUGACAGAAGGAGGUGUCUGAGAAAUCUCAAAGCUGUAUCUUAAAUGUCUUAUUUUCUGUCUCAUGCUGUGUGCCUAUUACAACUUCCUCUGAUUUCUGUGAUGCCCAAAUGUGCUGGUCCUAAUGUUGAGAGACAAUCAUCGGAGUGGCAACUGGUUUAGAAUCAAGCAGAUCAGCGCGAAGAAGAAGAUCUCUUAUAUACUUGAGUUGACUUAGAAAUAUUCCUGUGGCAGAGUGAGUGAAUUCCAGACCCAAGAAAUAAUUCAAGGCGCCAAGAUCUUUCAUGGAGAACUCAUGAUGUAAUUUGCGAAUGAAGGAAUCAAUGAGGGAUAUAUUGCUGCCUGUGAUGAUAAUGUCAUCAACGUAUAAGAGCAAGUAAAUAGUAUCAAGGGCUGAUGAAUAGACAAAUAAGCUGGAAUCAGCCUGACUGCUAGUGAAACCAACAGUGAGCAGGAAAUNNNNNNNNNNNNNNNNNNNNNNNNNNNNNNNNNNNNNNNNNNNNNNNNNNNNNNNNNNNNNNNNNNNNNNNNNNNNNNNNNNNNNNNNNNNNNNNNNNNNNNNNNNNNNNNNNNNNNNNNNNNNNNNNNNNNNNNNNNNNNNNNNNNNNNNNNNNNNNNNNNNNNNNNNNNNNNNNNNNNNNNNNNNNNNNNNNNNNNNNNNNNNNNNNNNNNNNNNNNNNNNNNNNNNNNNNNNNNNNNNNNNNNNNNNNNNNNNNNNNNNNNNNNNNNNNNNNNNNNNNNNNNNNNNNNNNNNNNNNNNNNNNNNNNNNNNNNNNNNNNNNNNNNNNNNNNNNNNNNNNNNNNNNNNNNNNNNNNNNNNNNNNNNNNNNNNNNNNNNNNNNNNNNNNNNNNNNNNNNNNNNNNNNNNNNNNNNNNNNNNNNNNNNNNNNNNNNNNNNNNNNNNNNNNNNNNNNNNNNNNNNNNNNNNNNNNNNNNNNNNNNNNNNNNNNNNNNNNNNNNNNNNNNNNNNNNNNNNNNNNNNNNNNNNNNNNNNNNNNNNNNNNNNGUAAUGUUUGGAUUUGGAGAUGCCUGCUUUUCCCCGAGUGAGCAUGGGAUGAGAAUUCUGUGGUGGAAUUGAUGCAAUUGGAAGUACUGGAGGUUGCACUUCCUGAGGAGCAGGAACAGAUGGUACUAAGGAUGAGGGGCUGUGAGGUGAAGACAAGUCCAAGGCACAUUUCUUGCAUGGCAUGGACGAGGUCACUGGUAAUGGAGAUGGAGGCCCUAUAGAGGAAUUAGUGACAGCUAUAGCAGGAAGGAAUGGAAUAGGAUCAUGAAAAGCAACAUAAUCUGAGAUGGCAGAGGAGUGUUGCAUGCUAGAAGAGGAAAAUGGAAAUACAGUUUCAUCAAAACGAGCAUGUCUAGUGAUAAAGACUCGAUUAGAAACAAGAUCAAGACACCAAAAUCCUUUGUAUGAAGUGUGAUAACCAAGAAAGAUGCAAGGAAGACUUCUUGGUUCAAACUUAUGCUUGGUAUAAGCACGCAGGUUCGGAAAACAUAAGCAACCAAAGAUGCGAAAGGUAGUGUAAAGAGGAGACUUACCAUACAGAAUUUCAAAAGGAGAUUUCCCACUCAAGACUAGUGUUGGCAAGCGGUUAAUAGUGAAAACAGCGGUAUUGAAGGCUUCAACCCAGAAAUGAAGAGGAACAGCAGAAUGAAACAUCAUUGUGAGGCCUGUUUCGGUGAGAUGCCUAUGUUUCCUUUCUGCCCUACCAUUUUGAGAUGGUGUAUAGGGACAUGAGAAUUGAUGAUGAAUUCCACACUUAGUAAAGUGGGUCUGUAGAUUUUUACCGAUGAAUUCCCCUCCCCCAUCACUUUGGAAAAUUUUAAUUUUCGUAGAGAAUUGAUUUUCAACCAAGGAUUGGAAGUUAAGAAACGUGGGGUAAAAAUCACUUUUGUGCUUUAAUGGAUAGAACCAAGUAUAACGGGAGUGAUCAUCUAUAAAGAUAACAUAGUAUUGGUAGCCUGAGAUGGAUUUAAUGGGAGCUGGUCCCCAAAGAUCACAGUGUAUAAGACCAAGAAUGUCAUUGGAACGACUGUCAUUUGUUGAAAAUGGUAAUGCAUGGCUUUUAGCCUUUUGACAGCUAAUGCAGAGAGGUUGAUUUGGCAAUAGAGAAGAGAGGGACAGUGAACCUUGUUUAUUAAGAAUUGAAAUUAUUGAAGAGGAGACAUGUCCUAAACGUGCAUGCCAAACUGCAAAUGAAUUACAAAGACUGGAUUUAUGGAGGACAGUAGAAAAUGCUUGGUGUCCACGCUUCAGUACAUAAAGGCCAUCAACAUGCUUGCCGCUUGCCACCACUUUUUGAGUGUGAAGAUUCUGGAUGAUGAAAUCAGUGUCAGUAAAAGAGACAGAGAAAGGAUAGUCAUGGGUGAGUUUACUGACAGAGAGCAAGUUUUUAGUCAAGUUUGGAACAACAAGAACAUCAUUUAAUUGAAGAUGGGGAGUGGGAGAACAAGAACCAGUGUAGGUGAUUGGAAGAGAAGAGCCAUUACCAACAAUACCCUUGUCCUUACCAGCGUAAGGUUCCAUUUGAUCAAGUUGAGAUGCAUCAGCUGUCAUGUGUGCUGAUGCACCCGUAUCUGUGUACCAAUCUGCAGGUGCAUCAUGAAUGGUGCAAUGAGCAAGGGCUUCAGCAAUAUUGGCAUCAGGUUUGAUAUAUUUGUUCUCAUUAGUUUUGAUAUAUCUGCGAUGACAAUCUGUUGCGUAAUGACCUUCCUUACGACAGAUUUGGCAUCUAGGAGGUCGUCUAGGCUGCUGCUUGUGACGGUAUCCUCCCUUUGAUGACCCUCCUUUAUAUUUGUGUUGGUAGUUGCUGGAAUUUCCAAAACUGGUUGAGGAUGCAGGGGAGAAAUUUGCAACAUAGGCAGGGACCCCUGUGUUAUGAUCAAUGGACUUUGAAAAAAGAUCAAAGCUUUCUGCUUUGGGAACAAUAUCUGUAAAACUGGGAAUAGGGGUUAAAGAGAGUUGAGUGAUGGAGAAGGUUGAAAACUCAUGGCCUAAACCACGUAGAUACCAAUGCACCUUAUCAGUAUCUUCAACUGGACGUCCCAUUGCUGAUAAUUGAUCACAAUGAGCUUUAAAAAUUCGAGAAUAUUCAGAGAUGCUACGAGAGCCACGCCUCAUGAGAUGAAGCUCAUCCUUAAUUUGGAGCUCACGGGCUUUAGACUUUUGGCUGAAUGUGGUUUCAAGAGAGUUCCAGACAUCUCUUGAAGUUGUAAAGCCGAUAGUAAUAGAGAGAGCUUCUUCUGUGAGAGAAGAAAGCAGAAGGCUCAUGACGAGCUGAUCCAAUUGUUUCCACAGAUUGUGAGCUGCAGGCUCAGUGGCAGCAGAUGGUAUUGGUGUUGAGCCAUCAAUAUGUCCAUACAGUUUUUGACACUGCAAUAAAGGGACCACUUGACUGCGCCAGAGAAUGAAAUUGGUGGAGGAUAAUUUGAUAGUAACCAUGUGAACCAUGGUGUUGAAGGAGAGAGUAGAAGAAGAAUUUUCUGAGGCCAUAGGAUCUAAUGGAUGUUAAUCUUACAGCUCUGAUACCAUGUAAGGUUUUGUAAACCAAUAAUUAUCAACCACACCUUGCACAUGGCGUUGGAAUAUUAUUAUAUAGGAAAAUGUUUACAACAGAAGGUGAGAGUAAUAAGGAAGUAGCUGUUACAGGAUAUACACUAUACUAUAAUUAGGAGUAAUCAGUUCCUAGAUAGACGUAUAUAAUUAACUGUAAUACAAUCAGAUGGCAUGAUCUUCUCCUGAAUGCUUGGAAAGAUUGGCAUGAUCUUCUCCAGAAGAUCAUGGGAUUGUGUUAGCGUCAAUAUGGUGCACCGAAGCUGGCACGUAAUUGCUAGUGAAGCGAGCCAUGAGAAAAGGGUCCUCGCUCCUGACGGCGUCUCCAUGUCCCGUGCCCCAAAGAAUACAGUGACAGAAGGAGGUGUCUGAGAAAUCUCAAAGCUGUAUCUUGACUAGCAAUGGUGCCUUGUCCAGAAUGUUGAUGUUCACUGUCGCACCAAAAGUGAGACCAUUGCAUUGUCAAUGAGCAACAUCCCACAACUUUAAAAUUGGUCUACAUACUGUAAAGAAGCAAGCAAGGUGGGUAACAAGGCACAGCCUAAUUGAAAGCCAAGGGUUAACUUGUUAGAUAUGAAAAUGCAUGGCCCUGAUAAGCUGGAAUUACCAAACCCACUACAGAGCCACAAGAGAUGUUCGGCUAGAGACAAUAAUUGCUUGUAUUGAUAAAACGUACAAACGAUCAUUUGGGCCCAAUUCUGCGAUCUUGUCGCCGGUUAUGGAUAAAUUGUUUUUACAAGUGGUGAUGACAAUGUGAAAAAUCUUAUAAAAUAAGUUCUUUGGUUGUAUACGAUAUUCUUUAAUACUUAAAUUAGCAAAUAUAGUGGAAUUGAAGAUGGUUUUUUUCUUUGAACAUACUCAGAAAGUAGAUGAAGACUAGUAAAGCCCUUAGUGUUGAGAAGAAAAGAUAAAGUUAUUAGAAAAAGGAGAGAGGAGAGAAAUAAUUUAUUUGGUUCCAGUCCAACCACAUAAAAAAUUUACCUUGGUGUCAAUGAAUUAUCUUUAGAGAGAGGAGUUAAUUGAAAAUGAUUUUUUUUCUUUGAACAUACUACAGAAAAUAGAUCAAGACUAGUAAAGUUGAUUUUUAUUUGGCUGGACUCAAGUUUUUAGAGUGAUUAAAGAGUGCUUUGAUAUUAGAAAUAAGUUUAUUAAGGUUCUUAUGAUGUUUUCAUGAGAAAAUAAGUUUAAAAUUGAAUUUUUAAAGCUAUAGAAAACUCAAACCCCACAUCAAAUGUGUCAGAAUUUAAACUAAAAGAUGACACAUGAUCCGCUGUGGAUUGCUAUAGAAAUUAACCUGGAUUCCUUGACUAGUAAAGAAACUAAAUUAAAAUGUUAUACCUUUGUUUCAUUUACUGUGAUAUAGAAAUAGUUGCACUGUGUAUUGCUAUAAGACAACUGUUUUUAUCCCUUAUUUUUUAUUGUUUUGGAAACAUUUAUGUGGCCUUUUUGUUCAAGAUCCCUUAACAAUUUGUUUUUCCCUUUUUUUAUUUUGUGAAUAAAAUUCUUUUUAAGUUGAUUUAUUAAAAUAAUAUUUAUGAAUCCAAUUAAGUUAUUUUUAAGAGAAUUAGAGAUUUUUAUGAUAAUAUUAGCAAUUUCUUUAAGAAUAAUUAUGUAUUAACUUAAAAUAUAUAAGUUUUAAAAUAAUAUGCUAGUUAAUAUUGAAUGAGAAUAAAAAAUCUAUUUUUUAUAUAAUUUUUUUAAAUUUAUUAUUUCUAAAUUUAUUUAUAUAGGUGUGUAAAAAUAAUUGAUUCAUAUUUAUUUUUUAUUUUUUAAUUAAAACAUGCAUUGAUGAUCAUAAUAAAUUUUGACUUAAAAACCAACUUUUUCAUAGCAAAAGUUGUUAAAGAAACCUCAUUUUCCCGACUCUUGACAAUGUUAAAAUCAUCCAUAAUCGAGUACCGGAAUUAAAAUUAGGAACAGGUGAAUACGUUAUAUAAUGGAGAAAAUUCAUAGCAUUUUUAUUCGAGUUUAUUUAAUUUAGUAGGCCAAACACAGUUCAGCUCAUUUGAGUGCAAUCGGUCAUCGAUCUCUUUCAUAGCACUCAAACGACUCAGAAGCAGAUACAAAAUCCCAUCACUCACAAGCCAGACGUGGCGUAGGAAUUGACUCAAUGAACUUGGCUGCGGCAAGGAAAGCAUUGUAGGAGGCCAAGUAGCCAGCAGGCGAAAAUCCUGGAUUUGCUUCACCUGCUACAUUGGAAGCACCUCGGAUCACGAUGAAUGGCUUUUCAUUUGAUAAAGAUGUCUGCAAAUCAAAGGACCAAUAAAUUUUAGCUAGUUAGCCGAGCACAUGAACUAGAGAAAACUUUUCUGAGUUCAAUGAAAUUAUUCCUUCUUACUAACCCAAGCUACAGCAGCGCUUUCUUGAUCGGCAGUUGAGACGUUAAAAACUUUGUGAAGGAAAUCUCCAUAUGCUUUAUUUUUAAUGUAAGAAUCAGAACUAGAGCCGUUAGUUCCAAACACAAUCUUAGGCUUGGAAGGUAGGCAAACUCCAUCGUAGCAUUGUCUCAACUCCAAAUCCUGCAUAUCACAGAAAUUAUUCAAGCGUAUGUAAUACAGUGUGUCUAUUGAUAAAGAAGAAGGAUCAAAAUUAGAUUGACAAACCUGAAGCACUUGAGUGGCAGCACUAUACCAGGAUGUGGUGCUGGGAAACCAGAAAACAUCCUGCGGUGAUUGUCCUUUAGAGAACAAUUUUAUUGUAUCAUAGUCUACGCUAGCCAACAAGUUCUCUCCGUUCACUGGAUAAUUAAACUCGCCAAAGUUCAGCGUCCCUUCAUCUGACCCGAAUUUCUGCGCCAUUGUAAAAAUUAAAGCUGGUUACGUAUAAGAUGUGUGUGUCUUAUAAUUAACAUACAACUUAAACCCAGAAAAUUAAAUUAAAUUUCUUUCAAGUCAUCCAAAUAUAUAGGGUAGAUAUAUAUUUUUUUUUCAUGGAAAAUGCUCCAUGGUAAAUUCUAGAACCAAAUAUUAUGUCCUCGAUCACCAUUGUUCACAGAGUGUGUGUGUGUGUGUG
rnacentral:lncRNA from 1 species